UCAAAGGCGUUAAAGGCUGCUGAUUGGGCAACUGCCAUUAAUUUAAGUCAUGUGGAGGUCCUUGGUGCCCUUGAUUCAUCAGAGUGAUGAGAGGGAAGGCUGAUUGGAGUGGACGCUAGAGAAUAUCAGGUCAUGUGCCGCCUGGAAGUUCUACUCUGCUGGCCAAAGGACAGGAUGGCUGUAAAGCCCUGCAGCAUCUCUGCAGCCAAGCAAGGUGGAGCUCACAGGCAAGCAAGAGGAGAGUGAAAAAGAAGAGUGCAUUCAAAAGCUGCACAUUUCCCAGCCAUUCCUGCGGUGGGCUCUAUAGCCUGUGGAGUUCGCAGCCUGCUGAAGGACACUCAAGACGUGUGAGGCAGCACAGUGAGUUGGGGUGGAGUGGAGACAGAGUUUUUCUCUACUGUGCAAGCCUGCAUGGCAGCAGAGGAAGAAAAGAAUAAAACGCCCUUCUUUGAAUGCCUGCUCUCCUUCCCUGAAGGCAAGGAAACCAUGCACACCUAAACUGAAGUCUCAUGCACCAGGAAUAAGCAUGUUUUUAAGGACUCCUUGUUGAUGCAACUGACACACAGAGAAGAAAAAGGGGAGUAGACAACUAUUUGAUAUUUCUAUAUCAAAAUAAAUCAGCAACCUACCUUUCAAGCAUCAAAUUAAUAUGAAGCUGUUCACAAAGCAAUCUUGCCAAAAGGAGGAAAUAUCAAAUAUUUGGAAACAUUCAACCCAAAAUGAAACUGCAUGAAGUAGAAACAUUUGGACUGAGUGUUGAUUGGAAACAAAGGAACAUCCAUGAGCUUUAUGGAGGUUUGAGAUCUUGAGCUCAAAGACCUUCUCCUCAGAGGGGUUUCCCUGAUCACCUGAACGAAAGCAGCCUCCUGGUUCGCAGUCAGUGUAUCUCAUCGUGUUGCUCCAUUUUACUUUUUCCACAGCACACGUCAUCUAAAAUUACCUUGUUUUUGUGUUUGUUUUCUGUAGCAUGUCCUUAAGUGCAGGCAUCCUGCCUUAUUUUCCACGGUGUCCCAGCUCCAUGGCAGCAGGAAGUGCUCAGUACAUACUUAUUGACAAAGUGACAGGGUGAAUAUCAUGCAUGGCUCAUUGGAGCUAGUUCCUCAAAACAUUUUUCAUGAUGGAAAAGUGUCAGAAAAAAAAAAAUUCACUCUGUUCAGGAUUUGCCUCAAAAGAAUGAUUGGAGAAUUGCCAUGGUAUAGUCAUGAACAGCACAGAAACUUCAGAAUACCUGAAUGUAUCUCCUGUAGAACCUGGAAAAGCACCUACUAAAGAUCUAUCAAGUGAAAAUUUCAGCAUUUAGUUCAAGUUUGUGCUCAUAGCAUUAAGAACACAUUAUUUAUUUUGAAACACUCAGGCAGUGGGACCCAGAAUGUAGCAGAAGAAUGAGAGAUGAGAUUCCUUUUAAAAUAAACGCCAUGCUUAAAGAAUGCCUAUACUUACUAAGCUCAAAAAAUAUUUUCUUCUGUCUCCCAUGAAAGCAUAAAUCUAUUCAAAGUCUUUAAAAUGAAGCAUGGCACAUAAUUUGUUCUCUUUGGUUGCUUUAUACAACAGCACAGAGGGUGGAAGCAAAGAUGGUAGUUCUGAUUCAAACUCUGCCGCUCACUUGCUUGAGUAGAUCACUUAAUAUCUGUUCACAAUUAGAAAGGCAAAAACACCCAUCAAUAUUCUUGCCCUUCCCAGAGUGGCUGUUACACUCCAGGCAUGUAACCUGUAAGAAAGUGCUGAGUUUUAGUGCUAAAUAUUAAGAGUUGUAAGGAUAGUAAUUUUUUUUACAUUGAUGAUAAAAGGAUGUGUCAACCUAAAUAAAGAGAUAAACUGAGGCAAGCUCAAA